CUUGCAGUUUCGACCCUUCGUUGAGUUAUGAAGAGCGGGAACAGAAGAUGAAGCAGGCCACUGUAAGAGCUGGGUUCGUGCAAGACCUGGUUCUCUCCACCCUUUUUAGCGAUUAGUGUAAUCAGGCUUUUAUAGCGAACAUAUGGUAAUGGUAAUCGAUCUACUCUGUUCCUGAUAAGAGGCGGAAAUGGGGUCCUUAGUGUUAAAUGCAAUACAUAUGGACAACCCAUCAUAGGCUGCUUCUUGAUCAGAGAGAUGUAUUUAUUUUGAAAGAAGUCGAUGGCUACUCAGUAUUCUGCGAUUGUCCAUCGUAAUGCUUAUGUUUUCAUAAUAAUCUAUCUUAUGCUUUUAGACAAUUAAAUUAUUAGGCCAUAAUAAAGAUAUGUUGGACAAUGAUUUUCUGCGUAAACAGGCUCUCAUGUAAAGUUGUAAUUCUGAGAUGACACUAAGGUAGCUUGGUAUGUAUAAAUUGGCCACUAUUGACGUGAACGGGAAGACCUUUAGGAUCAUUUUUUUUUCCUUUUCUUUUUGUGGCCACUUGCUGCCUUAGCACAAACACAUCUGUGCGAACCAUAUGUGAUCACAAACUGACGCAAAUCAUCUACCCACUUGUCACUUGUGAGUGAAAAUGCCCAGAGACUUAUGAAUCCUUCCUUCUGGACACAUACAUUCUUCAUACUAGAUUUUUGAAUGACAAAAGUUAUAACCAUACUUCCAAUUAAAAUUUACAACACAACAAGUUAGCUAUGAAUGAUGUUUCCAACUCAACCAAUGGUCUGUACUGUGGAGAACCCAUGAACCCAGUUACCCCAACCACUGACAUUGUUGAAAGUGGCAUAUGAUAACAAUAUUCAUACAAUGUGGGGGCAGAUUGUAAUUUUGUUCAAGAGCAACAUCAUAUAAAGUGCACAACUAAAACCCUAGUUUUAUCUUAAAAGAAGUGUGGCCAUUCAAUAUCUUCACAGUUCCAAAGAGAAAAAAUAGUGUUUAAGAUCUAGAAAUUUAGAAAAAUAUAUCUUGAAACAAUGGAGAUUUUACUUAGAUACUUUGAUCCUAUGUUGAGUAUGUUGAGAAUGGGUGGUAUCGGAAACAUACAGAUUACUCUGCAGAUGAUGCGCUUUCAUCUGUUUCUUCCAAAAGCAGUUUGAGCUAGCUCAAUGGAGGCAGAUCUGUGUUGCUUUGGGUUGCUAGCUUUCUUUUCAGCUGUUUGAGCUAGCUCAAUGGAGGCAGAUCUGUGUUGCUUUGGGUUGCUAGCUUUCUUUUCAGCUGAAGUAGUGAGUUGGAUAUUUGAUUAUUUAUUUGAUAACAUAGUUCUUCUUAUGGUAUUUCCCUGAAAGAAAGAGAGUAAUAGUGUUUCCAUACAGGAGUUUCGGGUCUUCUGUCAAGUACAAGAAGAGUCCAAUGGAAUAGCAGCUCCUCCUCUUCAGUAUGUACUAAAUCUCUCCAGAAAUAUUUUGAUAUAUGUAUUUGUUUUCAGUUUGGUUGGGAAAUAAACAUUUAUCUAGCUUGAUCCUAGAAAUAGAAUGAUCCAUAGGAAGUGUCCAACUGUGAUAUCUACUAGAAUGAUCCAUAGGACGUAUUUUUUUUCUUGUUCAUUAUGUGAGUAUGCGCUGCACAAGUGGAGGUAUUAUUAGGUAUGGUGCCUGGGCCUUAUAUAUAUAAAUAAGGUAAGGGUAAAACCGGAAUUAUUAGUAUGUUUGUGACGGUGAUAGCGUCACGUCAGGUUUUGCAAACCACCUCGUUUUAGGGGCGUCUUAUAAAGUAGUUAAGAUAUGAUAUCUCUAUUACUUGACACCCCAAAAGGAGGUGGUUUGCGAAGCCUGACGUGUCACCAUCACAAACAAAAUGAUAAUUCCGGUUUUGGUUUUACCUUUACCUUAUUUAUAUAAGCAGGCUGUAUGAAUGCCCAUGCCCAAUAAUACCUUUAUGCACGCACAAACGUGCAUGUUCACAUAGUAUAACAUGGACCAUUGUAAACUAGGAUAUGGUAUCAUUCUUUAGUAUGUUAAGAACUUAUAAAGAGAAAGUGACGGUUAUUUACCUACCCUUAACCCCAUUUGGGCUUAUCACUCACAACGAUAACUUGAUUAUACCAUCAACCAAACUCGUUGGUACGACCCUCUCCUACUAGUGAUGCUAUUUUGUUUCUACAAUUUAUUACAUUUCGAGAAGCAAUUGCCAAUUUGAAUGGCCAAUUUUAUUACUAGUUUACAAUAUUUAUGGUGCUUGAUCCAAGAGUGGCUUGUUUGGAUCUAUGACGGCCUUGGUAGACGUAUAUGUAAUAAUCAACAUAUCAACGCCUUUUACCAAUUUUGUUUAUUUGGCGUCGAAAUUGUGCGGGAUUUUACAAUUAGCCUGUCAAUUUUAUGUGUACUAGGGUCAUCCAUAUCAAGUGUAUGCUACCGUAUUUAUUCAAAUGAGAUGUCUGACACAAGGGUCAGCCAUUUUAAAGUGUCUUUGCAACAAUGUAUCUUUAGAUAAUUACUCGUUUUGUUCUUCCAGGCUUCCAGCUGCUUGACGAAGUAGAAUUUGUCUGAAUUUCUAAUAUGUUUGAGAUCAAAUACCUUUUCUUUCUUGUAGUUCCAUGAGAGAACUUGAGGCCUUCUUUGAUUGCGAGAAUGGGUGGUAUCGGAAAGUUUUAAGGGCGGUGGAGUCUCUUAUUUUCAUGCACAAAAUGACCACAAAUACUUGCUUGCAAGGUAUUGUUGAACUACAUGCUCAUAGUCUUGACUAAUUCAUUUGAUUUCACUGUGACAAAUUGUCUUUGAGGUUGUUAACCAAAACAAAAUGUUGAUGUCAACCAAAACAAUGUCUUGCUCAGGAAUCAUGUAGGGUGCAACCAUUCAAAUAAGAUUCUGUGGAAGGUUGCAUCACUGUUCCAAUAGGGCUACCCAGGAUGAUGAUCAUGUAAGGAACAUGAGGAAUACAAUGUAGGCGCAGCCAUAAUAUAAGUCCAAUUGUCAGUAUAUAAGUUAAGUUCAUGCUAUAAAAGAUAAACUUGUAGUUUCGACCUUUUGUUGAGUUUUGAAGAGUGGGAACAGAAGAGGAAGCAGGCUACCUUUAGAGCUGGGUUUGUUCAAGACCUGGUUCUCAUUACCCCUUUUAGCGACUAAUGAGCCGAAAAUGGGGUCUUUAAUCCUUACUGUUAAGUGCAAUACAUUUAGACAACCCAAUUGUCUUAUUAGGGAUGUCUUUCAUAUAUGUAGAAUUAAGUUUAUUAAUUUGUUUUUCUUUAUUAACAAGGAAUACAAACUAUCAUAAAAUAGUGAUCUAUUAACAAUCAGUUUAUCUUCAAUCAUGUUUCUGUUGAACGAGUGUUUUUGCAGUGAUAUGGUGGUAAACAAGUAUAAUUUUGCUGAUAAAUGUUGAGUACAGCAACUCUGACAGUCUGACUUACGCUAAUUAUAAUUCAUAUACUCUUGGUGUGUUUUUUUCUUUUUUGUCAAGAACUACUCUACUAUAGACCACUCAGUCAACUUUAUGAUUGUCAAAUUUCAUCAUGUAGAUCAUGUUGAUAUUCAUUUUGUUAUAGAUUCUAGUUUUUCAUUUCUCGGUUUUUGUUUGUGUUUUGACUCUUAAUCUUGUCAUACAUGCAAGGAGCUGACCUUGUAGGUUUUCAACUAGUUCCUAUAUAAUUUGUAUAGUACUCACCGGUAAAAAUGGUGAAUUCGGAGAAUUCGUAUUUUUUAUUCUCUGAAACCAAUGCCUCCUAUCUAGGCUGUAGAAUAGUUUCUUUCUGUUUCCCAUUUGUAUAGGUGUAUAGCUUAUGAGAAACUGGCAUCCUCAUCUAACUGGUCAUAAUAGGUCAUGGCUGCGAGUUUUUUCUAACCUUUCUUGAUGUAAAACUUGCAGUUUUGUCCCUUCGUUGAGUUAUAAAGAGCGGGAACAAAAGAUGAAGUAGGCCACUAUAAGAGCUGGGUUCGUGCAACACCUGGUUCUCUCCACCCUUUUUAGCAAUUACUGUAAUUAGGCUUUGCGAACAUAUUGUAAUGUAUCUACUCUGUUCCUGAUAAGAGGCAGAAAUGGGGUCCUUAGUGUUUUAUAUGGACAACCCAUUUGCCAAAUUAGUAUGUUUCUAGAGGCAGCGAUGUUCUGCUGCUGCAUUAUCAGAGAGAUGUAUUUAUGUUGAAAGAAGUAAUAGUUCUGUCAGGGCUAAGUUUGCCGAACCUCGUGGCAGCACUGAAGAAACUGCAAUACUAAAGGGUCAUAACUUGUGCCAGUUGAAAUUACUUUUUUUUCGUUUGCUUUCCUGUCUACAGCCCAUCACAAGCAUGCUAUCCCACACAGAUGUGGAAGUGAUAAAAUUUCUAGGCCAUAAAAAAGACAUGUUGGACAAAUAUUUUCUGCAUAGACAUGUUCUCUCUGAAUGGUGUUUUGCGUAUGUGAAAAUUGGCCCCAACAAGCAUAAUUGUUUAAGGUCUUUAUAGCCACAUCUACAUGCUACUUUGCACAAACACAUUUGCGAACUAUGUGUUGAACCACAAACAAGGAGCAAAAUCAUGUUCCUCAAAAUACAGAAAAUAGCAAUAGAAAUUGACACUACAAACAUAGUCCAUACAAAAUUUUUGAAUCACAGAAGUUACAACCAUCCUGUUACAUAGAUGUGGUGGUGUGGUGGUGGCAUGGCAUGAUAAUGUUUCACACCAUAUUAUGGGGUAGGAUGAUAGUUUCACAAUUCACAUCAUAUUAUGGGGUAGGAUUGUAAUUUUAGGUCAAAAGCAAUAUGAUAUAAAGGCACAAGUGCACAACUAAAACCCUAGUUUUUCCAAAGGAAAGAAUGGAGGUUCAAUAUCUUCACAGCUACAAGAUCUAGAAAUUUUACAAUAUCUUCACAGCUACAAGAUCUAGAAAUUUUACUUAGAUACUUAGAUUGAGAAUGGGUGGUAUCGGAAACAAAGAUUUCUGCUCAAUGGUUCACAUAUGGUUGCUGUAGAUUACUGCUCAACUUAUAGAUGUGUGCUCAUUGCUCGCAGUCAAUUAAUAAAACCUGGUUCCCUACUCCCUAGUGUUGCUUCAUUAUGUUCUUCCAGUCACUUGGCUAAGUAGAAUUUUGUCUUUGUCAACCCAUCUGAGAGAGCUUCAUUACUGUUCUAAAUUUUAAGUAUGUUUUAGACAUAAAAGUGAGAUGAAAUCAAUGUUUAUUUAUGCAAGUUUUUCUAACCUUUCUCGAUCUAAUACAUGCAGCAGUUUUGGUCCUUCAUUGAGUUAUGAACAAUGGGAACAGAAGAUGGAGCAGUUUAGCAGGACACUGUAGGAGCUGGCUUUGUUCAAGACCUGCUUCUUUCCACGCUUUUUAGCAAUUAGUGUAAUCAAGCUUUUAUAACGAACCACAAACAUAUGGUAAUUGAUCUACUCUCUCCCUUAAAAGAUGCUGAAAUGGGUCUUUGGUGUCAAAUGCUAUAGAUAUGGGCAACCCAUUUUGCCUAAUUGUUGUGUUUCUUGGGGCAACAAUGUUCUGCUGCUUUUAUUUACUAGUUCCACUUCAAUAAAUAGUUGUGCGUGAAACUUUCAUGCAGGCAUGUAGCUGAUGAUUUUAAUUUUUGUGAUACAAAUAAAGUAAUGAUUUCAUUCAAGUUUAGUAUUUUCUCUCCAUCACAUUAGUGUGUUGUUAUCCUUAAUGGCUCGGAUCACUCUUAAUGGACAGCCUAUUAACCAAAAACAUCGCAUAAAUUGUGCUUUCUAAUCGAGACAAGCAGGUCAACCCAAUUGAUAAAGGGAAUGCACCCUCCCAGGCUUACAGGCUUUGGUUAACAUCGGAAAAUAUGAGUAGAUUGUUAUCAUACUUAGGGCAAAGAGGACACGUUGCAUGCUCAAAUAUAACGCGAAUACUUGCUUACAAUAUGGUCUACAUGGAAGUCCAUAUGGCAGUCUUUUAUAUUUCAUUUAACUUCACUGUGAUAAAUAGUGUCUCAUGUUGUCAAUUGGAUACUUCUUUUGAAGUUAUAUUAUGUCAACCAAAACAAUAGGUUGCAGUUAUGAAAUCAUCGACCGAUUCAUAUACAAUUCAAUUCAGUGGAAGGUCUCCAUUCCAGGAGGCUACGACCCUAACUUAUGUUCAUGGAACGUAGGGAAACACUAUCGGUGCUGCCAACACACUGGACGCGAAAAUUGGAACUGAGUGCAGUAGCAUUGUAAUACACUAAAAUAAAAAUAAAUAAUUUCUGGAAACAAAAAAAUUGAUUAAAGAAUCACUUCAAUGAAUCAAAAUUAAAGAAACCCUAAUAAUUAACAAUUCCUUAAAAAUUAAACCUAGCUAUGAUUUUAACUAAAUGAUAAAUUCCUUGAUAGCUCCUCCACCUUGGCCUUGUCAAGCUGGUGUUUCUCAUACACUGAUAACAAUUGUUGUUGCACUGUGGCCAAUAACUUGUCUUUGCUGACAUAAGUUAAGUAAUGAGAAACAUUUUCUUCCUCCCUUUUCAAACACUCUUUAGCUCUCUCUAUGUAAUAUUGAUCACCAUUAUCUUCUUCACUAAUCCAACUCAUUGCUUUCCCUAAGUAAUAAGAAGCAGUAUUACUAAGUAUACCUUCUUCAUAGUGUUUUUCAUAGUAAAAUCCUGGUCCAUGCUUAAAGAAAUAAUUAUCCCAUCCUGCUCCAACCUCAACAAAAUAAUCCGUAACAUUCUUCAAUAAAACCCUGUCAAUUUGUGUGCCUUCUCGUUCUUUUUCAAUCAAAGAGAUGACAAUAUCUCUAGCCUUCAUAUUAAUAUCUUGAGAAACUGCAUCAUAGAAAUAAGUAAAACCAACUUUAGCAAGGCUUGGCAGCCACCUUUCGUCGGAGGUAUAAUAUCGAUCAAGAUAUUGGAAUAAAUGCGACGACAUCCAACUGCACAUAACUUUGUAAUUUUUCCAUCUUUUUACAAGUUCUGAUAAAAAACACACAUCUUGCUUUUCUCUUAAAGAUGACAAAACUAUUCCUUUGAUAUAUUCUUUAAUAGUUUGUUCAUACAAGUCGUAAAAUUGUGGGCUGUACGAGUGAAUGGCGCAUAAAUCGUAAAUACAUGAAUAGAGCUUCAUUAACUCCCUUGGAGUGAGUUUUUCCUUUGGAAAAUUUUCUUGUAAAUCAAUAAACUUUGCGAUUCCAUUCUUAAUGAUUUCGACUCCUUCUUCAAAUUCGAUAAUCUCUUCAUCAAGAUCUGUCAUCUUUUAUUAAUCUUAUAAAAACCAAAAACUAUAUAAUCUAUUACAACUACUAAGCAUACAUAUUUAUAACUUUUUGUUCACCUAUUUAUAGAUUUCUAAUACUAUAAGAGUUGUUUUUAAACUAGCGUAGGAAGCCGACUUCAACUAGUAUAUGGCAGAAUUUGUUCAAGAUCCCAUGACAGGGCGACCCAUGAAUAAAAAGUAGAGAUUUUUGGACAUACCCCCAUUUGAAAGUCGAAAUUUGAGAUACCCCAUUUUGAAAAAAAAUUUGAGAUACCCCCCAAUUUAAGAUGUGGUGUUAUCUUAGCCGUCCAUCAUAAAACUCACCUACGGCUGUAAAGCUCUUCUGUCUUGAAUUGGGGGUAUCUCAAAUAUUUUUUUAAAUGGGGUAUCUCAAAUUUCGACUUUCAAAUGGAGGUAUGUCCAAAAAUCUCUAAAAAGUAUACUAAUCUUCUGCAGAGAUUUUACAUGAGCCGCCCAGAUACACAUCCACUCUAACCGGCAAUCUCGCCCAGUCAAAAUGCGCAGAGACUUGUGAGCACUUUCAGUUGUGGUCAUAAUUCUUUGUCUUUCCACGGUAUAACUUCUUUAAAUUAAUAGCUUCAGGUAAGUAAUUUUUUGAACUUAGAGAGAUUACUAACAUACCGAGCGUUGAUUUAGCUACUUACAAGGUCCAUUGGAACCAAAAAAUUCUAGCUAUUAAAGAUUUCUAUCAACUUAGAGAGAUAUUAACGAAUCAAGUAUUAAUUUAAAGAGGUUUGUUCUACUGUACAAAUUUACAACCAUCCUUGCAAAAAUAAGCUAUGAAUAAUAUUGGGAUUAUUUCCAACAAAAAAAAAAAAUCUAAUAAAAUUUGCCCCUACAUGAUGUUUUCAACUCAACCAUGGUGUAUAGUGGCAUUGCCAAUUUGACAUGAACUGAUGAACCUAAACCAUUGAGACAUAAGUACAUAACAAUAACCAUAUAAAGAUUGUAAUAACAUGGUACAAAAGCACAACAAAAAUCCUAGUUUUUCUAAAGAGAAGAAUGGCUGCUCAAUAUUAUCUUCACUAAAGUCUAAAACCCUAGUUACCCAAACAGUAGCCGUUCAAUACUUCUACCUUUUCACAGUUCCUCAAUGGAUUUAUAUUUCAUAGAAAAUAUGUUGAGGUGAGAAUGGGUGGUAUCGGAAAUAAACAGAUUUUGUUGUUAUUUCCUCAUGUUUUUAUGUUUUCUAGUCGAAAAGCUUCGAGGCUUUCCUUAGCUGGUAAUGAUCAUUAUAGGGUUUUAAGGAAAAAUUGACAGUUCUUCCCAUUGUAGUGAAUACAGAGUUUCUGGAAGCUAAGGAUAAAAUCACAUAAGUAAAGACAAACAAGAAGAUGUCUGAUGCUGAAAGAGUCCUAAGGAAAUUGCUAGUAAGUAUUCUUAACUUUUCUUGUUAAUUAUAUAAUUAAAUACAAUAGUUAGAAUAGUUAACCUUUACAAUCCUGAUUGAAUUUAAAACAUUUAUUAUGAUGAUUAGUCUUUACAAUCCUGAUAGAAUGAAAAACAGACAAACAAUUGUCAAAUGUUCUGCGAGCAGAGCAGAUGUAUAUAAACAUUUGGAAAAGGAAUGAAUGCCACACGUAUUAGUGAAUUGCUGGUUUUUUAAUCAGCAAUUAGCAACGAGUCUGCGUUUUUAGUUAAUGGAGGCAGUACCUGUACUCAAGAAUCAUGUAGGGUGCAACCGUGCAAAUUACAAUUCAGUGGAAGAUCUCGAUUUAAAUAGGACUACCCAGGAUGAAGAUCAUGUUAAGGAACAUGCAGAAAACAAUAUAGGUACUGCCAUAAUAUAAGUCCAACAAGGUUAUAAUAUAAUGGCCCCCUAAUAUAAUUUCAAGUUCAUGUUUUAAAAAAUAUUUCAAAAUCUAGAAGUUUUUCUAACUGUUAUUCAUCUAAUACCUGCAGUUUUGACCCUUCGUCAAGUUAUGAGAGCGGGAGAAAAAGAUGAAGAAGGCCACUGUCAGAGCUUUGUUCGUGCAAGAUCUUAUAGGAAAAGCUCAGGAAUCCAUGGAGUGUGUUCACUUCAAAUGCGAUGUAGUGAUGAAGAUGAGAAAAUAGUGUUAUCAGAAUAUAUAAGUGGGAAUGGGUGGUGUCGGAAAUAUUUUGUGGGGCUAGAUUUCAUUCCAUUCUGCUUUGCACUCCUUUGGAAGGGAAGGAUUUCACUUUAUUUUGUGGGAUUCAACUGAAAAAGAGUUCAAAUCACGACUGUGGAUCUUAAAUCUGUCUUCACAUACCCCAUAUCAAAUCGUGGUAUCGGAAAAUUUCAACGGGCAAAAUAUUGAUGAUGGAGGGUGGAGUUCACGCACUAAGGUAAUUAAGCUGUUUCAAGGACUUAAAAUAUUCUUAGGGCAUCUCUAAUGGUUGGGCAAAUUUGAUGGUCCACGUAUACACAUUUGAUGAUAGUUUGAUGAAAAUUUUGCUUUGAAAAUGUGCUCCAUCUAAUGGUUCAUCAACUAAAGCGGCUAAUGGAUGACCGCUUCACUAAAGCGGCCUCCUAACACCCACUUCACUUAGUUAAAGCGGCUAAUGGAUGACCGCUUCACUAAAGCGGGCCCCCAACACCCGCUUCACUUAGUUAAUGGGGCUGUCCAAGUGCCACUUAGUUAAAGCGGGCUUUGAAGUGCCACUUUAAGCGGCACUUCAUUAGCCGCUUUAAGUGAAGCGGUCUUCUCUUGCCCGCCUCACCCAGUAUCAAACCUUAAGCUUUUCAUCAAAAUUUCAUCAAAUUUGAUGAACUUUUGAUGAUUUUUGCUAAAAUAUCAAAUUUGAAAAACUUUUGAUGGUCCAUUAGAUGGAGUUUUUUUCACUUUUUCAUCAAAUUUGAAUUUGAUGAUAGAUUUGAAGAACCAUUAGAGAUGCCCUUAGUUCUUUAGUAUACUGUUCACUGGCAUGACCAUAUAUAUUUGGGGGAUUUAGAGAUACCCCCCCAAAAAAUAUGAACUCUUUGAGAUACCCCCCAGAUUUAAAAAUCAUUAGAGAUACCCCCCAUUUUUUCAUUUGGAGCCGGUCAACCAAGCCAUUGACCUAUAUUUGACCAGUCUUUAUAUCACUUAGACUAAAAUACCCUUCCUUGAUUUUAAUGGUGAUCCUAGUCAGCUACACACUCACCAAUUAUGCCAUAUCAGCAAAAACACUUCAUUUCACCAAAUCUUAAACUUUUCUUAGAGAUAUCCCCCAAAAUUAAACUUUUCUUUGAGAUACCCCCCAAAAUUGCAGAAAAAGACAUGAGUGAAAGAUUUUAGUUUAAAGUUCUUCGCCUUUUCUUCUAGAUCUGUUAAUGGAGUUAUUUUCUGGAUCUCUGAUAAUGGCUGGAGAAGAAAGAAGAAGCAAAGAAAGAAGAACAAGGGUUGGAGAAGAAAGAAGAACAAGGGUUGGAGAAGAAAGAAGAAGAGGGGUUGGAGAAGAGGAAGAACAUAUUAGAUGGGUUGGAGAAGAAGGAUGAAGAAGAAUGGGUGGAGAUUGAUGGGUUGGAGAAGAAGGAAGAAGACAAAUGGGUGGAGAUUGAUGGGUUGGAGAAGAAGGAAGAAGAAGAAUGGGUGGAGAUUGAUGGGUUGGAGAAGAAGGAAGAAGAAGAAUGGGUGGAGAUUGAUUGGUUGGAGAAGAAGGAAGAAGAAGAAUGGGUGGAGAUUGAUGGGUUGGAGAAGAAGGAAGAAGAAAAAUGGGUGGAGAUUGAUGGGUGGAGAAGAAGGAAGAAGAACAGNNNNNNNNNNNNNNNNNNNNNNNNNNNNNNNNNNNNNNNNNNNNNNNNNNNNNNNNNNNNNNNNNNNNNNNNNNNNNNNNNNNNNNNNNNNNNNNNNNNNUGAUGGGUUGGAGAAGAAGGAAGAAGAAGAAUGGGUGGAGAUUGAUGGCUAAUUAUUUGUAACCAUUAGAUUAGAUCUGGUGAAAUAUUUGAUGAUGUGGUAGAAAUGCAUGCUGACUAGGUUGGAUGAUUAAGACAGAGCUUAAGUUAGGAAAAGGGUAUUUCAGUCAAUAUGAAAACAAGUUAGGUCAAUGGCUUGGUUGACCGGCUCCAAAUGAAAAAAUGGGGGGUAUCUCUAAUGGUUUUUAAAUCUGGGGGGUAUCUCAAAGAGUUCAUAUUUUUUUGGGGGGUAUCUCUAAAUCCCCCUAUAUAUUUUCAACAUAUAUAGAUCCAUUGACUGUACUGCUGAAAUUAAUUGUAAUUUAAGAAAAGGUUGGAAAGACUUGAAAAUUAAAAAGAAAUUUUAGUAUACCAUGAAAUGAAGUGUAUAUGCUGGCAAAAAUUAGCUUCACAGCCAGCUAUAUAGGCUACUCCAAUGUAGUGUUGUGUAUAUUAUCUAUAUAAUACAUGCUCAAAAUAAUCAAGCUACGUAUAUAACUGUCUACUACUCACUUGGUAUGACAAGAUUUAAGGUAUAUUAAAUCCUAUAUGAUUUCUUUGUUAGUGAAAAUUGGAUUUUCAAUUUUCAGGUACCUGCAAAGUCACAAGUUGGACCACAAUUUUGACUAGCGCUAUAAAGCAAGCUACGUUACUAAUAAUUAGGGUUUGUGAUAGCUAGCUUGUUAUAGGAGAAAAAGCUAAGAUGGUAAGUUGUUGUUAUGAUAUUGACAAUAUUCCUGAGGAUUUACCAUAGUACAAAAUAUCGGUAUCGACUAAUCUAUCGAUCUCCAAAAAAAUAGAUAUAUCGGGAUAUAUUGGAAUCUAUCGGUUGUUAUUUUACAUCGAAUGUAUCGAUUAAUAUAUCAAUUUGUUAUAUAAAAUAUAUAUAAAAUCAAAUUUGGAAGUAUAUUAUCAUAGUAUUUACCUAAAAAUAUCAUAUCUACUAAAAAUGGAAUAAACAAAUUAUUUCUAAAAAAAAAAAUUUCCAGAAAAUAUCAGUAAAUAUCGGAAAGAUCGAAAAAAUAUCGGCUGAUAUUUUACAGAAACUUUAAGGUGUAAAUAUCGAGAAAAUAUCGUAUCGUUUUCUUAGAAAACCGAUAAAUAUCGCGAUAUAUCACGAUAUUUUGUACUAUGGGAUUUACUACUAAACAUACUCGUGUGUUUGAUAAAGUUUUACAUGUGGACUAGUCAAGAGAAAAUCUUUUCUGGACUAAUCCUCUACGAUUUCUUCCAAGCAGGUCUAGGUGCACAGAGGAAUUUGUAUUAUUCUUCAAUGAAACAACAUGGUCACCUCUAAGUCUCUAACAUUCUUAUACUACUAGGAUCUGCACCACUGUGUUUAGUCUAACACCUGCUGGGUUGCUAUCACUAACAUUGUUGUAACGUGUAAGGCUGUAAUAGUAUGUUCUCUGUUGACUGGCAGUACUAGGUCUCUCUGAAAUACUUGUAGGCAUCGAUUUAGGUACUAUAUGGUUGAAUGUGUAAAAGUAUCACUAGCCUUGCACACUGUCUAAACCAAAAAAUAUCCUUCCAAGUUGUGCUAUAAACAAUUCUGCAAGGUUUACUAACCUUUCUUGAUAUAAUGCUUGCAGUUUCGACCCUUCGUUGAGUUAUGAAGAGUGGGAGCAAAAGAUGAAGCAGGCCACCGUAAGAGCUGAGUUCGUUGAAGGUGGUUCUUUCCACACUUUUUAGCGGUUUUGUAAUCAGGCCCUUACAGAACAUAUGAUAAUCAAUCUACUCUCUUCCUGAUUAGAAUCGAAAGUGGGGUCCUAGUGUUAGAUGCAGUACAUAUGGACAAACCAAUUGCCUGAUUAGGAUGUAUUUUUAGCAGCAAUGUUCAUAUGCUUCUUGAUCAGAGAUAUAUAUUUAUUUUGGAAGAAGUCUAUGGUUACUCAUUAUUUUUGUUUGAUAUAUAUGCUAUUUCGACCCUUCAUUGAGUUAAGAGUAGGAACAGUAGUUAAGACUUGGUUCUCCACAAAUUGGUAUUUAUUUUGCCUAAUUGAUAUGUUUCUUGAGGCAGCCAUGUUCUGCUGCUUCUUGAUCUGAGAGAGAGGUAUUUAUUUUAAUAGAAGUCGAUGGCAUACUCAGUAUUCUGGGAUUGUCUAUCGCAGUGCUUUUGUUUUCAUAAUAAUAUAUACCUUAUUUCUAGGCCAUAAUAAAGACAUGUUGGACAAGUAUUUCCUGUGUCUCUCGUGUUAGCUGUAAUUGUCUGAAAUGGUGUAUUGAAGGGCUAAGAUAGUUUGGCAUGUUUAAAUUGGCUUUGGUCACUACAGUAUGAUUGUUCACCUGGAAUACAUGACAACCUUCACAUCUUUUGCUUGAUUUGAAUGACAACUCACAACUAUGAACUAUCCUUGGCAGCAGUUGAUAUAAAGGCACUAAAACGCUAGUUAUCUGAGGAGAAUGACUGAAUGGGCGACUAAAUUUUUUCAAUCUUUUCACAGUUUCUCAAUGGUUAUAGAAAAAUAGAUUUGGGCAACUGUUUAAACAGAUUUUACUUGAUUGUAAGGUGAGAAUGGGUGGUAUCGGAAAUAAACAGAUUUGGGCAACUGUAUUUCCAAUAAAAUCCUGAAAGGAAAGACAAAUAAGAAGAUGUCUGACUCUAAAAGAGUCACAAGGAAAUUGUUCAAGAAAGGCUAUUACGCUGAAAGAUGUCUUAACUUGUCUUGUGAAUUCUAUAAAUAUAGAACUGUGAUAUGAUGGAGACCGACGUUAGGGAAAGAGAGAGCAAGAGAAAAGAAGAGAGAUUUCAAAAAACAAAAACAAACCGACAGACAGAAAAUUGAAAAUUAAAAAUAGAAAAAGGGGACAGACACGAGUUUGAGUUCCACCUGACUCUAAAGGAACCUCCUAACGUCGGUCGAUUAAAUUCAAUAGUUAGAAUAGUUAAACUUUACAAUCCUGAUAGAAAGUUAUAAAUGAAUUGAAAAGCAGACAAACAAUUAUCAAACGUUCUGCGAGCAGAGCAGAUGUAUAUAAAAAUCUGGAAAAGGAACAAAUGCCACACAUAUUAGUGAAUUGCUGGUAAAUAAAUCUGCAAGUAGCAAUGAGUCUGCGUGUGUUAGGAUAACAUGAACUUCAAGAACUAAUAAUUGAUACGAUAGGAUAACAUGAAGAGAUGAAUGAAUAGAGUAGUUAUCGGAACCAGUACCUAAAGAUGUGAAGCGAUUGUUGUAACUCGGAAUUGCCACGAAACAACAGUAUUUGGCCUAUCUGUUCUUUACCAUGGUCCUGAUACAAUUGCUCGAAAUCUACCAAUUUUUUUUUCUUACUUGCUUAAAAGUUAUGUUAUCUUAGCUUUAUGUAUAUGUAAUGAGCUAACAUUUCUCUCCAUCAGAUUAGUUCAUAGUUCAUACAUAGAUUGGCUUUAUCAUACGCUCACUUGAAUCACUCUUAAUGGAUAGCCUAUAACCAGACACUUUGCCCUGCUUCUCAUAAAUUAUUAUGCUCUGGAUAAGCAGAUUGUGUAAUAACAUCACUAUCCUCCUUGUGAAGUUGUAAGGCACAUAAAUAUGGCAAUUGGAUUGAAUCGAAUGCAAAAUAAAGAUGUUUUAAGAGAGAUAUAUACUUAAUUAGACCUUUUUAUUGGCAGCACAACAACAACGUGGCCGUGGUCAGUUCCGUACCUGAGAUUUUUAUUGGCAGCACAACAACAACAACAACGACGACAUUGUUGGUUAGAAAAAUGAUGUCUCCCACUCUCCAGCGUUGAAGUGGUCAUGUAACAAGGUUACCCUGUGACCAUUGCCAAUUUCUAGUCAUAUAUGGCUUUGAAAAUUAGAACCAGAUCGAUCAAUUCCAGAAUCAUGCCGAUUCUGAUAAGAUGGGGCAGAUUGUAAUUUUAGGUCAUUAGUAAAACUAUAUAAAAACACAAGUAAAACCCUAGUUUUCUCUUCAAACACAAAAGAAAGAAUAUGGCCGUUCAACCACUACUACACAGUUUCAACUCUAGAGUAUGGGAAUGGGUGGUAUCGGAAAAAAUGAGGGAGUGGGGCGUCUGUUCAAGUUGGACAUCUGAUCUGUUAGAAGAAGAACCAACCUGAGCCGCCGGAAAAAUCUGCUCUUUUUUUCUUGCUAAUGGUAAAAUUAUACUUGCAGUUUCGACCCUUUUUGAGUUAUGAAGACAAGUUGAAGCAUACUACUGUUGUGGUUCUCUCUACUCUUUGUAGUGAUUAGUGUAAUUAAUGUAAUCUGAUCCAGAAAAAAGGUCAUUAAACAACUAAAUUCUCUUAUUAGGUUGACUGAAGUGUAUAUGGCUAGUCAGUAUUUGGGUAUUGUAAUAAUCUAUUAGCUUAGUAUGUGUAAUUUAUUUUUCUGGUUGCAACCCAACCAUGCACACAAUAUCGAAAUGUGUAACGAUCACUCCAUAGUAAUACUCUAAUUAUUUAGACAAUUUUAUGGAGAAAUGUAAUUAUUUUGUGGAGCAGGAAUUUUUUACUGACUUCAUUGGAGAAAUGUAUUUAUUUUGGAUGAAGUGGGCUACUCAGUAUUCACGGAUUGUUUGUUCUUGUUCAUCUUAAUGAUUUAGACAAUUUUAUUUGUAAAAGUAUGUUAAUGUGGGACAAAUAUAUUCUGCGUAAACAAGUUCUCUUUAUUUCAUGAAA
rnacentral:lncRNA from 1 species